rnacentral:rRNA from 1 species
UUCCGGUUGAUCCUGCCGGAGGCGACCGCUAUUGGAGUUCGAUUAAGCCAUGCGAGUAGAAAGAAAUUAGAUUCUUUGCAUACUGCUCAGUAACACGUGGAUAACCUGCCCUACACUGGGGGAUAAUCUCGGGAAACUGAGCAUAAUACCCCAUAGACCACUACGCCUGGAACGGUGAGUGGUUCAAAGCUUCGGCGGUGUAGGAUGGGUCUGCGGCGUAUCAGGUUGUAGGGGGUGUAAUGGACCUCCUAACCAUCGACGCGUACGGGUUGUGGGAGCAAUAGCCCGGAGACGGAUUCUGAGACACGAAUCCGGACCCUACGGGGUGCAGCAGGCGCGAAAACUUCACACUGCAGGAAACUGUGAUGAGGGAACUCCAAGUGACUGCACAAUGUGUAGCCUUUUCUUGAAUUUUAAUAGUUCUUGGAAUAAGGGCUGGGAAAGACCGGUGCCAGCCGCCGCGGUAAUACCGGCAGCUCGAGUGGUCGUCGCUUUUAUUGGGCCUAAAACGUCCGUAGCCUGUUUGGUAAAUCUGUGGGUAAAUCAACGAGCUUAACUCGUUGAAUUCUGCAGAGACUGCCAGACUAGGGACCGGGAGAGGUAUGAGGUACUCUGGGGGUAGGGGUAAAAUCCUGUCAUCCUCAGAGGACCACCUGUUGCGAAGGCGUCAUACUGGAACGGAUCCGACGGUCAGGGACGAAGCCUAGGGGCACGAACCGGAUUAGAUACCCGGGUAGUCCUAGGUGUAAACGCUGUGGAUUUGGUGUGUGGGGUCCGCAAUGGGCCCCAUGUGCCGGAGUGAAGAUGUUAAAUCCACUGCCUGGGGAGUACGGUCGCAAGGCUGAAACUUAAAGGAAUUGGCGGGGGAGCACUGCAACGGGAGGAGCGUGCGGUUUAAUUGGAUCAACGCCGAA